rnacentral:rRNA from 2 species
GCUUAUGCGUUGUUGGGUAGGGGAGCGUUCUGUAAGCCUGUGAAGGUGGCCUGUGAGGGUUGCUGGAGGUAUCAGAAGUGCGAAUGCUGACAUAAGUAACGAUAAAGCGGGUGAAAAGCCCGCUCGCCGGAAGACCAAGGGUUCCUGUCCAACGUUAAUCGGGGCAGGGUGAGUCGACCCCUAAGGCGAGGCCGAAAGGCGUAGUCGAUGGGAAACGGGUUAAUAUUCCCGUACUUGGUGUUACUGCGAAGGGGGGACGGAGAAGGCUAUGUUGGCCGGGCGACGGUU